rnacentral:rRNA from 1 species
AGUGAACGCUGGCGGCGUGCUUAACACAUGCAAGUCGAACGAAAACGGAUUAUAGCUUGCUAUAAUUGUCAGCUAGGUGGCGCACGGGUGAGUAAUGUAUAGGUAAUAUGCCUCUUACUAAGGAUAACAAAUGGAAACGUUUGCUAAUACCUUAUACUCCUUAUUAACAGAAGUUAAUAAGGGAAAGAUUUAUUGGUAAGAGAUUAGCCUGUAUUGUAUCAGUUAGUUGGUGGGGUAAUGGCUUACCAAGACUAUGACACAUAACUGGUUUGAGAGGAUGAUCAGUCACACUGGAACUGAGACACGGUCCAGACUCCUACGGGAGGCAGCAGUGGGGAAUAUUGCACAAUGGACGAAAGUCUGAUGCAGCAACGCCGCGUGGAGGAUGACACAUUUCGGUGCGUAAACUCCUUUUAUAUGAGAAGAUAAUGACGGUAUUAUAUGAAUAAGCACCGGCUAACUCCGUGCCAGCCGCCGCAGUAA